rnacentral:rRNA from 1 species
AAUCAACGCUGGCGGUGUGCCUCAGACAUGCAAGUCGAACGAUUAAAGCUCUCUUCGGAGAGUGUAUAGAGUGGCGCACGGGUGAGUAACACGUAAGUAAUCUACCUUCGAGUGGGGAAUAACGUCCGGAAACGGACGCUAAUACCGCAUAAUGCAGCGGCAUCGCAAGAUGACAGUUGUUAAAGAUUUAUCGCUUGAAGAGGAGCUUGCGGCAGAUAGCUAGUUGGUAAGGUAAUGGCUUACCAAGGCUACGAUCUGUAACCGGUCUAAGAGGACGGUCGGUCACACUGACACUGAAUAACGGGUCAGACUCCUACGGGAGGCAGCAGUCGGGAAUUUUGGGCAAUGGGGGAAACCCUGACCCAGCAACGCCGCGUGAAGGAUGAAGUAUUUCGGUAU